rnacentral:lncRNA from 1 species
GCUAGUGCUGCACGGACAGCAUGAAAGGUUAUCUUUGACAAGGUUUUAGCUAUUAUUUUCUUCCAGUGAAAUGGUAUUUCUUGAGAAAAAAAGGUCUUUGGAACAAAAUAACAAUAAAUCCUGAUUUAGAUACAUAAACCUGCCAUUGAUAUCACAUAAUAUCAGUGUUCUUUCUCACUCGAUACAGGCGUUUUAAAGAUAAAUGGUAAACCCGAACUGGAAAUCCAUCUGGCCGGCUGCCUGCUCUAAUGAAUAACCCCACUUUGGCGCGUGCAAUGUAAGCAGAAAGUUCUCUCCCGGCCUCUUUCGUCUGUCAUGAAUCUACGAGACAGCCGACAUAAUAUCUGGGCGACAACGGGUGCGCUAACAGUGCAGUCCUGGCUCACAUCGGAAGGAAUUUUACUGAUGGCCGUGAGAACUCUGUCACAAUUCCUUGCUCAAAUGGCAUCACGAUUCAACAUUUAAAGACUCUCUAAGCUGAUUAGUUAAAAGUUUUCUUGAUAAAAAUGGAGAAGAAUUAUAAACAGAAAUGCAGAGAAAUUAGAAAGCUAGUCCUAUGUAAAGAAGGAGCUAGUCCUUUACGUAGGAGCUAGUCUUAUGUAAAGAAGAUUCUACAUACUGAAACACACAGAUGAAUCCAGGAGACUAGCAGGAAAUCACAUUAUCAUCUUUCACUUUUCUCUCCUGAAACUGGAAGGACUAGAUUCUGAAAUAUUUGGGUUUAAUAAACAACAACCAUAAGAAUCCUUUUUCCUCCA